CUCCCCGCCUGCUACAGCGGAGGGGGCGAGGCGGGGCCGUGGCGUGUCAGCGGCGGCGCUUGUAUUAAUAGUGUAUCUAUUCAACAGAAGGAUUUGGCCUUAAGUCAGAAAGAUGAGAUAAACAGGAUAACCAUUAAAACACAAAAACAUAUGGUAUCACCAACUGCGUGAAGAUCAACAUCAGAUUAAGUCCCAUUCAGUGAGCAGUGUUUAUGCAUCGUGUGGCCGGACAGGAUGUUCUACUGAUGCUUCGGACAGGGCUCCAGCUGUGUUGUAUGAAGUACAAGGACUGCAUCUCACUGCUGAAGUGAGAGAAACUACCAGAAUGUGGGAAAACCACUUUCAGUCUCUGAAGAGCCAUGUGCCACUUCAGUAUGUUGGGACAUGAGGAAAAACCGGGAUUGAACAGCAACCUGAUUAUCAACAGCAGAAGAUGGUAAGAAAAUGACAAAGCAAGGAGAGAAAAGAGUGUACGAAUCUCUAUAAUAUUCUCAGGUAUGGAGUUAGAAGACUGGUUAGGAUUGGUAAAUUUAAGUUUUAGAAGAGGUUGAAAGCUCUUUAUCAAUACACGUAAGCAGUUUACAGGAUUCUGGGAUAUAACUUCACCUGAGUGAUCCAGUCCCAGUCCUGUACCUAAUCCUUUUAUUUUCAAACAGACUUGCAACAUUUCACCUUCUAUACUGGACAACCAUGGAAAAAAUAACAAUGAAGAGAUUAAGCUCAAAACUUCUGACAAAGAAAUUGGAAGAAAAUAAUCUCCACUGCAGGGUAGGGAAUGACACCUCUGGAGUGCUGGUCAAUCCAAUUUGGGAACUGGGGAGAGUACAAAAAUAUUGAUUUUGAAUCUGAGAACAUGCAAAUUCUAAGAAAAAAAGAAAGGCUGCAUUCUAUAUCCAGCCACUUACAAUGUCU